GCUCUAAUAGUAUAAUCAUAAUACUUAGGUCUUGUAAACCUAGAAAGGAAUAUAAAAUUUCCUUAGAGCU
rnacentral:tRNA from 1 species